rnacentral:rRNA from 1 species
GUCGAACGGGACUAUGCGAGAUGAAGUUUUCGGAUGGAAUUUUGUAUAGUUUAGUGGCGGACGGGUGAGUAACACGCGAGCAACCUGCCUUCGAGAGGGGAAUAACGGCUGGAAACGGUCGCUAAUACCGCAUAACAUACGGGAGGGACAUCCCUUUUGUAUCAAAGAUUUAUCGCUCGAAGAUGGGCUCGCGUCCGAUUAGGUAGUUGGUGAGGUAACGGCCCACCAAGCCGACGAUCGGUAGCCGGACUGAGAGGUUGAACGGCCACAUUGGGACUGAGACACGGCCCAGACUCCUACGGGAGGCAGCAGUGGGGGAUAUUGCACAAUGGGGGAAACCCUGAUGCAGCGACGCCGCGUGUAGGAAGACGGUCCUCUGGAUUGUAAACUACUGUCCCCAGGGACGAAGAUGACGGUACCUGGGGAGGAAGCUCCGGCUAACUACGUGCCAGCAGCCGCGGUAAUACGUAGGGAGCGAGCGUUGUCCGGAAUUACUGGGUGUAAAGGGAGCGUAGGCGGGGAUGCAAGUUGGGUGUUAAAUCUACCGGCUCAACUGGUAGUCGCACUCAAAACUGCAGCUCUUGAGUGAAGUAGAGGCAGGCGGAAUUCCUAGUGUAGCGGUGAAAUGCGUAGAUAUUAGGAGGAGCACCAGUGGCGAAGGCGGCCUGCUGGGCUUUUACUGACGCUGAGGCUCGAAAGUGUGGGGAGCAAACAGGAUUAGAUACCCUGGUAGUCCACACCGUAAACGAUGAUUACUAGGUGUGGGGGGUCUGACCCCCUCCGUGCCGGAGCAAACGCAAUAAGUAAUCCACCUGGG